GGCAGCAACACCCGCCGCGCUCAGCCCCUUUUCCCUCCUCCCUCCGCCCCUCGCUUGUCCCCGAGCUGAGCUUGGGGCUCGGGCGGGAGGAGGAGGAGGAGGAAGAGGAGAAGAAGGGACAGGGACAGGGGUACUUUUUAAGGGCUCUGCUCUGGCUCAGCACCACUCUGGAAGCCUCCAGCACCGAGCUGCUCUCCCAGUCCCACUUCUGACUGACUCAAUGGCUGGGGCUCGAUGGCUCCGACCCCAGUGGCAGCAGCACCAGCACCAGCCUGAAGCCCCCAUCCCAGCCCCAGUAUCUUCCCUUUGUGCUGCUCAUCAAGUCUGCACCCUUUCAAAAGCACUAUUUCUUCAUAAGUCAAACUGUUAAAAUGUCCUUUUUUUCAUUACUGCAUCAUGGAACUCUGGGAAUGGAUGGACAGUGAUAAGGAGGUUUUAUUUUUCCUUUUUUUUUUUUUUUUUUUUUCUUAAAGCUCAGAUUCAGGGCCCCAUAUGUGCCUUUAUAAAGAAGUCUGGGUCUCAGGAGACUCAAGUAAUUAUGGUCAUCUGCUGUUUCAGCCUGAUUUAUUUAAUCAGAGUAUGUGUUUUCCUUCUCUUUGUAUUUGUGGGAUGCUCUCCACAAAAGCCAGGAAAUUCAGGACUGGUAAAUGCCCUGACAUCUGAAUAAUUGAAAAUGAGCAAUAUGAUACAGAUACGUCCAAUUCCAGGGUUUUAGCAUUCUGUACGUCAGCACCUGCUCCUGCACUACAGCACACUUAGGCUGGUACAUGGUUUUCAAUGUAAUUCUAACAAAACACUCAGAAACAGCUUAAAAUACCAACAAGAGGCUGCAACGCCUGAGUAAGCAUUAAAAGGAGAUACCUGCUUGGUUUAUACCCAUAAAAAAUGAUGUCACCAGUACGAUUUGCAAGCAGCUCUGCCAGCAAAAAUAUGACCAAUGCUCCAGAGACAUGGGCCUGGCUGUGGUUUCUGUGCCACAGCAGAAGCCCUGCAUGGCCAUGGGGUUGCUUUUGGGGCUCACUAUGGCACCAGUGGCUGUGGGAUGUCACAGGGCUAUAAGAGGUAGGGUGGGCAAGGGGAGGAGGACACCAAGAAAAGAAGUGCGUGGGAGUUGCACUGGAAAAAAAAUGGAGCGGGCGGAAAAACAGAAAAAAAAAAAAAAAAGA